UGGCUGAUGAGGAAAGCAAUUAUAAAAACACCAUCUUUCGGGACUGAAUGGCUUUAAAUAAAGCCUUGAUGUUAUUCUGCAAUUCUGAGGCCU
rfam:Gossypium hirsutum cultivar TM-1 chromosome 12, whole genome shotgun sequence